AGGACGAACGCUGGCGGCGUGCUUAACACAUGCAAGUCGAGCGGAAAGGCCCUUCGGGGUACUCGAGCGGCGAACGGGUGAGUAACACGUGAGCAACCUGCCCUUAGCUCCGGGAUAGCUCCGGGAAACCGGAAAUUAAUACCGGAUACGACCACGGCCGACAUCUGCUGUGGUGGAAAGGAUUCCGGCUAAGGAUGGGCUCGCGGCCUAUCAGCUAGUUGGUGGAGUAACGGCCCACCAAGGCGACGACGGGUAGCCGGCCUGAGAGGGCGACCGGCCACACUGGGACUGAGACACGGCCCAGACUCCUACGGGAGGCAGCAGUGGGGAAUAUUGCGCAAUGGGCGAAAGCCUGACGCAGCGACGCCGCGUGGGGGAUGAAGGCCUUCGGGUUGUAAACCCCUUUCAGCAGGGACGAAGCGAAAGUGACGGUACCUGCAGAAGAAGCGCCGGCUAACUACGCGCCAGCAGCCGC
rnacentral:rRNA from 1 species